CGCGGCAAUCAGAAGUAUUCUGUACAGCUCUUCGCGAUUCAAACCAUUUUUCAACGAUGCAAGUCUCAUUUCGCGGAAUCCUGAAUUUCCGAUCGGCGCAUCGAUGCACACGUUUCAUAAGAAGUACGAAAUUCAAUGGAUUAUUGCGAAAAUAACAGAUAUUAAGUGGACACGAACGAGAGCACAACCGAACAAUGGGUUUUCGUACCGGAAAAGGGAAGUUAGCAAUAAUGACAUUGCAAGUUAUUCAUUUUGGCCAAUCACGUUCUUGUCACAAUUAGCCAAAUAUUUCAUGUGGCAGGGCAUGCAAUGUAUAAAAUAAAUUUAUAUCAUUCUACUACGUUGGGUACACUGUGAAACAAUAUUAUACUAUGAAAUUAUAUACUUUAAGCUCGAAAUUUAAAUUAUUCAACAUUAUAUUAUAAAUAUUUAUUAUUACGUAUAUCAAAUCCAUAAUGUGGAGAAUUCAACUUAUGGAAAAAGGUUAUUCCGUGCCAAUAUAAGCUGUGUAAUAUAGCCAGACGACCGCCUAACAAGAAUUGCAGAUUCCAACACCCUAAAAAUAAAUUAUUUUUUACCUCGAGGAACAUCCAUGGCUAUGCAGUCUAAAAAAUCCGUUGCAUAAUUAUAAUCAGGCUGGGAAAGCAAAUUGGUGCUCCAUUUCUCCUUUGGAGGAUAAGCAUGCAAGCUCCUCGUGGAAUAACUGCAGCAUCUUUUGUAAUUGAUUCCACGGUAGAAGCAAGACGAUCCUCUUCCUUCAAUUCUUUUGGCAUAACACCCUAUAUACCAUUGAAAAUUUAGAAGCAUCACUAUUUGCAAUUACGUCAUAAUAUAUUUUGGGAUCCUCGUUUGGUGGAAACGGUGGAUUGAUGUUAUAAAC